CUUUUUUAUCGGGGAACCUAAAGAAUGACAGCUCUGGUCGUUUAGAUUUACGAUUAGAACAAUUGAUAGCAGAGCAGUGAGAUGAACAUUUAGAUGAGGAUGCCAUUACAGCCCAAUA